GUCUGGCUAGCCCAGUCGGUAGAGCAUGAGACUCUUAAUCUCAGGCUCGUGGGUUCGAGCCCCACGUUGGGCA
rnacentral:tRNA from 1 species